UAAGGAAUAUUGGACAAUGGGCGCAAGCCUGAUCCAGCCAUGCCGCGUGAAGGAUGAAGGCCCUAUGGGUCGUAAACUUCUUUUAUACGGGACAAAACCCCCCGAUGCGUCGGGGGUUGAUGGUACUGUAAGAAUAAGGGUCGGCUAACUUCGUGCCAGCAGCCGCGGUAAUACGAAGGACCCGAGCGUUAUCCGGAUUUAUUGGGUUUAAAGGGUGCGUAGGCGGAUUAGUAAGUCAGUGGUGAAAGCCCGUCGCUCAACGGCGGAACUGCCAUUGAUACUGCUAGUCUUGAGUAUGGUUGAGGUGGGCGGAAUGUGUCAUGUAGCGGUGAAAUGCUUAGAUAUGACACAGAACACCAAUUGCGAAGGCAGCUCGCUAAGCCAUAACUGACGCUGAUGCACGAAAGCGUGGGGAGCAAACAGG
rnacentral:rRNA from 1 species